rnacentral:lncRNA from 1 species
AGUCUAAAUGAAGCUUGUCCAGCUCAGAAAAGGCUUGUCUUAAUUCAUGAGAUGAAUUUAAGACAAGCACCUACUAAUUCCUGUCACCUACCAAUUUCAUUUUAGGACAUCUGUCAAAUGUUGACAUAUGGGUCUUAAACUGAAGAGAGCUCAUUGGAGGAUUUUUGUGGAGUGUCCACAUACCAAAAUUAUAUUGAAUUGGGCACCAUAAUCAGAUUAUGGCGUGAGCCCAAUUGGAUUAAAGUGGGCGCCCCUAAUGGAUAAGGAUGAAGAGUCCUGAUUAACAUGGACUCUUUGGCGCCAACCCUUGCUUGUGCUUAUCCAAAGUUGGUGCCAACAUAGGAGAG